ACAGAGGGUGCAAGCGUUAAUCGGAGUUACUGGGCUUAAAGGGCGCGUAGGCGGAUUUUUAAGUCGGUGGUGAAAUCCCUGAGCUUAACCUGGGAAUUGCAGUCGAUACUGAAUGUCUUGAGUAUGGUAGAGGAAAGUGGAAUUCUCGGUGUAGUGGUGAAAUACGUAGAUAUCGAGAAGAACACCGGUGGCGAAGGCGACUUUCUGGACCAAUACUGACGCUGAGGCGCGAAAGCGUGGGGAGCAAACAG
rnacentral:rRNA from 1 species